UAUAACUCAAGACAUUGUCUACUUCAUGGAUCCAUUAAAGAGAAGACUGAUUACCGGAGAGUGGAAGAACAUUGUGGACAACGGCAUCAAAAUAUAUAAUGCUCAUGUCAAAAGGCAAGGCCGAAAAACAACUACCUGGAAA